CGUGUUCGUUCCCUCGGGGAUCCUCGGAGAGUAGAGAGUUUACCUCUCUUGACCGUCGUCUGUUGUCCCCGCCGUAGGGAGGGGGGACGUAUCUACAUUCCUUUCCCCUCGCUCCCACCUUCCAGAACGAGGGCGACAUCCUGAAGGAGAGCAAAAGGCAAGGACCCUCUUCUAGGAAUUUCCCCUCCUCAGCUAGGAGUACAGCUUGGUCUCAGGUUUAAGAAGAAUAAAUAAAAUGGAGAUACAUUUGAGGCCUGGCUCUGCACACAAAAAUGGAUAAUAGGCUCAUUCUGGCUCUUGCAUCCCAGAUGAAGGUGGAGGUUCCUUCUGCAGGUAGACACCAUAAUGCUUUGCUUGCCUUUGACUCACCUUCUUGUUGUGCUAUAAUAUUCAUAUGUUGACAUAUUCAUGUUGUUCAUAUUGUUGACAUAUUCAUAAUUGUUAUAUUCAUAACAUAUUCAUAUGUUCCUGCAUCGGAACCCAGAGAAGGAGCAGUCUAAGGAUGAAACUUAUCCAGUCUUUAGCUGACAGAGCCAUUCCAAUCGAUAACAGCAAAUAUCCUAACAUAAAGUGAAUGAUGAAUUGGCGGUACAAAAUCAAGUAACUCCUUUCAUGCUGCAUCUCCUGUGACAAGGUGUUUAAAAUAGGAGCACGUGGGAUCCCAGCCACAGCGGAUUUUUGCUGGUGGCAGAAAGACGAGAAAAAGAAUUGGAAGAAUUACCAUUGAAAGGUUGACUGAAGAACUCAUUUCAGAAGGACAUUGUUUUCAAUAUGAAGUUUAUUUGUACCCAUAAGGAGCAUGACUGAUCAGACUAGAGUUCUACUCUAUCUAGUUUUCUGGAUAUCGAUAAAGAAGAUAGUGUUCUAGGAUCAUCUUGAUUAUCUCCCAUGAAAGACGCUCAAGAGAAGAGAAUGCCCAGCUUGAAUUCUGUAUGGCUUUAGACAACUUCAGGAAGUAAUCUGUUACUGAGUAAAUCCUAGUGAACUUUUCUACUUUAUAAAAACAAACAUAUGAUCAAGAGAAAGUAAAGUCCACAUGAACUUAAAAACCAACGGUUUGAGCCGCAAUCAUUGUAUAUCUGGAUAGUGAUCUGUAAUUACUUCGUGUGGGUGAAAUGUCUAGGAUUUGCCAUUCUGAACUUUAUUUUUUGAUUUAAAACUUUUUUUCUUUUUAAUUUUUAUUGAAGUAUAGUUGAUUUACAAUGUUGUUUUAGUUUUACGUGUACAACAAAGUGAUUCACUUACAUAUAUAUAUUUUCUUUAUGGUAUAUCCAUAUAUGUGUAUACAUAUACAUAUAUAUAUUCAUUUUCAGAUUCUUUUCCAUUAUAGGUUAUUAGAAGAUAUUGAGUAUAGUUCCCUGUGCUACACAGUAGGACCCUGUUGGUUUGAACUUUCUCUAAAUACAAACAUGUCCUAAGGUUUCAGUGUUAGCAGGCAUUUGUUGUUAAACAAUCAGGUAGGCAGCCGAGAUAGCAUGGUUAUUUAGUAAAUUCAGUGCAAGGAAAAGGCUUCUUGGGGCCGUAUUUACACACCAGGCCAUGGGGAUUUGACAGAACAGAGGAACUCCAUCCCCUUGGGCAAGUUACCUCUGUAACCUCAGUUUCUUCACUAGUAACAAUAUCCGCCUCAUUUGGCAUUUGAGAGCAUUAAAUUAGCAGGCCUAGGAGAGUGCCUGGCAUAACAGCUAAUGUCUAUUAACUUGUUUCAGGCCUGUCUCCCAUAGAGCCAGAAUUUGCAGCCAGCUGAGUGGAGAGGUGAAAUCUGUCCUUAUCUACCAUUUUUCUGAACAAGUCAGAUUCUUCCCUGAGGCACGGGUGCCAGGGAAGGAGUUGGAGGCCUCAUCUGACAACUUUCAGGUGGACUUAUUCUAAAGCCGAAGUACAUGCAAGUACGAGAAUGGAAACAACUCAGAGGGCUAAUCUUUUCGGUAUCAAGCCUAGAACUUUUGAGAUUUGAUUUCUCACCCCCAAGUUACAGGUCUUCAGCCCCUGUGGUUCAGUGGAAAGGUGCAGAAGUGGAAACUCUAGGCUGUCUCUGGUAGACACCCCCUCUGUAGUAUGUGCUACAUACUUUCUUUUCUCAUUUAUUUCAGUUUCCCCAAGGAGAUGAUUGGAACACUCAUGUACUCUCUUCUCCAAGACUUCUAGACCCUAGUUAUCCUUUAAAAUUUGUCAUUGGACGCUUGCAUUUAUGCAUUUCACCUUUUUUCCCAAUAAAAUCUCAGUACAGAGAAAUGCCCUAAACAGACCCUUUGAUAAACUUGCAACCUAACGAGAAGCUUAUUUCAUCAAGUUCUACAAAAUAAUUGUGCUUGUCCAAGAAAUUUGCAGAUGCCCUUUACACACUUUUUUUUUUUCUUUUUUUUUUUUUUUUUGCAGUACGCAGGCCUCUCACUGUUGUGGCCUCUCCCGCUGCGGAGCACAGGCUCCGGAUGCGCAGGCCCAGCGGCCAUGGGUCAUGCGCCCAGCCGCUCUGCGGCACGUGGGAUCCUCCCGGACCGGGGCACGAACCCGUGUCCCCUGCAUCGGCAGGCGGACUCACAACCACUGCGCCACCAGGGAAGCCCCCCUUUACACACUUUUAACAAUGUUUUUAAAUAGAUGCUUUUAACAAUGCUUUUAAAGUUUAGGACAACUUCAUAAUGCGGUCUAGAGUUGUAGAAAGCAUAUCAGAUUAGGGAUCUGAGGACAGGGCUUCAAAAUUUGCAAAAACACCUGGACACUGAGAUGCAGACAUGUCAGCUAUAUGAAGCCUUGCCUUCAAACAACAGCUAUUUAAUUAAAUCUGUGCAAUAAAGCUUUAUUGGUGAGACUGUAGAGGUGGACACAGGUGACAAUGUGAGAAUGGAUGGAGAGAUGACAGAGAAUAAACAGGAAUGGGUCCUAGCAAUAUGUGGGUUAGUCCUAAGACACAAAUGGCAUAUUUUAGGCAGAAGUGGGAAAAAUAUUCUAGCUGGAUAUAAUAUAUAAAAUAUUCAAGGCAGCAUGGAGUGAUGCAGGAUCAUAUAUGAGUAAUGACAAGUAACUUAGUAUGGCUACGGUGGAAACUGGGUUCUGUAAAGAGGGGAGAGGCCAGAAAGUAACAAGCUGGAGAGGUAGGCAGGGCCCAGAUAAUAUGGAACUUUAUAACAAGUUCAUGAUUGGGGGUUUGAUCCUGAAAGCAGAACAAAUCUUCAUGAGUUUUUUUUUUUUUUUUUUGGCGGUACGUGGGCCUCUCACUGUUGUGGCCUCUCCCGUUGCGGAGCACAGGCUCCGGACGCACAGGCUCAGCAGCCAUGGCUCACGGGCCCAGGCGCUCCGCGGCAUGUGGAAUCUUCCCAGACCGGGGCACGAACCCAUGUCCCCUGCAUCGACAGGCGGACUCCCAACCACUGCACCACCAGGGAAGCCCCUCUUCAUGAGUUUUAAGUUGAAAAGUACAGUGGGCCUGGGCUGUCCAAACUCUAUAUAUUCCAAAGGUCUUUAGGACUGGUCCUUGACCACUCUUUGGAGAUAACUUCUGAGCUUGGAAUAUGCCACCUGAGAAGAGUAUUUUGUAUAUCUGGGCUUUGGACCACACCAUAUAGCUUACACUAAUAAUGUGAUUUAUGGUAAGUGCCUAUUUUUGUAUACUUAGGGGCUUUAGGCUACACUACAUCAGUUUGACCUUGGUGGGGAGGGCUGGAGACUGUGCCUACGUGCCUACAUAACUGACCCCCAAUAAGAACCCUGGACACCAGGGCUUGGGUGAGCUUCCCUGGUCAGCAACACUUCACACAUGUUGUGAAAAGGCUGGGAAAAUUAACUGCUGUCUGUGCUCCUCCACUGGGAAAAGAUAGUUGGAAGCUUGUGCCUGGUAUAUCCUAGACUCUGCCUUAUAUGACUUUUUCCUUUGCCGAUUUUAAUCUGUAUCCUUUAACAAUAAUAAACCGUAACCAUCAGUAUAACAGCUAUUCCGAAUUCUGUGAGCCCUUUUAGUGAAUUAUCAAACUGAGGAUGUUCUUGGGCACCCCACACACAAGACAUAAAAAACAACAUUUACAUUUAACAUUUAAGAAUUAAUACAUUUGGUCAUGAGAAUGAUGGAUUUGAGGGGGCUGUUAUUAGGGAGUCCAGAAAGGAGACGUAAAGGCCUCAAUGAAAGCAGUAUUAGUAGAGACGGGAGUGUUGAUGACAAAUGAAAAAGCCUUGAUGACUGAUGGUGUGUGCAGGGGAAGUUGGGGAGUAAGUGGUGUAGGAAUUGGGAUCAGCGGUCUUGAGUAACUACACUUAUAGUAGCUACAUUUUCUAAGAUUGGAUGCACAGGAAAAGACCAGUUCUGGAAUAAGAAGGAUGAAUUCUGCUGCAGGCAUGUCAGAAUUAAAUGCUUGGCCAAGAUCUAGGUAGAUAGGUCUAAGGGGAACAUCUCCAAUCUGAGAUAGAUGUAACCAGGUGUGGGAAACAUCCCCAACCAGAAAGUAGCUGAGGCUAUGGAAUAAGAAAGAUCACCCUGAAGAAAUAUGCAGAGAGCAAUGAGAAGAGAGUCAAGUCCAGCACCUAGUGGCACACUGGCUGGUUGUUUAACCCCCAUGUCUUCUGUAAGGCAAGGGGCCGUGCUGGCUCUUCUCUACUAAAUUUCUCCUUACCUAUGUAGGUCCUCUGGCUCUCCUCCAACUCAACAGAACACUUGUCUAUUUCUUGCAGAUUUAGUGCCUGUCAUAUCAUAGGUACUCAAAUACUUCUUUAACAGGGCGAUUCUGAAACAAAUUAAGAACAGCUACUACAGGGGGACCUCCCUGGCGGUCCAGUAGUUAAAACUUCGCCUUCCAAUGCAGGGGGUGUGGGUUCGAUCCCACAUGCCUUGCAGCUAAAAAACCAAAAAACAUAAAACAGAAGCAAUAUUGUAACAAAUUCAAUAAAGACUUUAAAAAGCAUCCACAUCAAAAAAAAAAAAAAAAGAAAGAAAAAAGAACAGCUACUACAGGAAAGAGGUAACAUUUUUGGCUACCAGGGUUGAAAUCCUAUGAUUAGAUGAGAAAAUCAUCACUCAUUUAAGUGCCACGUACAGUUUGUCAGCUGGAAACAGUUAUAAAAGUUGAGAAGUUGGGCGUGGGAGGGCAGAAAGACAUGCACAAGCCAGAAGGACUCUACUACCUUUUAGAGCUGGUAAAUCUUUUACAGUAGAUGAGGAAUCUCUUAAGUUACGUCUAACUCAGCUAUUGCCAGCACUCAAGUAUUUCUUUGAUGGUGUUCCACAGAAUGCUCAUCCCCAGAGAGAUGCUUCACAAAUAGAAAGUUUCUUUGUCAAGUGGGUUUGCGAAAUGCUACAUAUGCCUGGAGUUUCAUCAUGCACAAGAGUACUCUAAAGACUCUGGGAGGGCUUCCCUGGUGGCGCAGUGGUUAAGAAUCCGCCUGCCAAUGUAGGGGACAUGGGUUCGAGCUCUGGUCCGGGAAGAUCCCACAUGCCACAGAGCAACUAAGCUUGUGCACCACAACUACUGAGCCUGCGCUGUAGAGCCCGCGAGCCACAACUACUGAAGCCCACGUGCCUGGAGCCCGUGCUCCUCAACAAGAGAAGCCACUGCAAUGAGAAGCCUAUGCACCGCAACGAAGAGUAGCCCCCGCUCGCCACAACCAGUGAAAGCCCACACACAGCAACAAAGACCCAAUGCAGCCAAAUAUAAAAAUAAAUUAAUUAAUUAAUUAAAAAUAAAUAAAUAAACGCAAGUAGAAGCUUUAAUCUUUUCUCCCACACCCCAGUGCAUUUUCUUGUUUAUUCCCUAUGGUUCAUGCACCUCUCUAUGAAGACCCUAGAUGAUGUCCUGCCCCCUCCAUUUAUUUCAGCUCUGACCUGUAAAAUGGGUGAGAGGGAAAACCUUACAUCCUUUAUGAGAGUGGAGCUUUAAACUGAAGUAGAAUUUUUUAAAAAGACUUCAUUUUUAAAAAGCAGUUUUAGGUUUAUAACAAAAUCGAGAGGAAGGUACAGAGAUUUCCCAAAUACCUCCUGCCCUUGCACAUGGGUAGCCUCCCCCGUUAGUAACAUCACCUACCAGAAUGAUACAUUUUUUUUUUCUUUUGGCCACAUCACACGGUUAGUUCCCAAACCCGAUCCCCAGGGAUCAAACCCGGGCCCCCACAGUGAAAACGCCCAAGUCCUGACAAUUGGACCGCCAGGGAAUUCCCAAAUGGUACUUUUUUUUUUAACCAAAGAUGGACUUACAUUGAUACAUCAUAAUCAUUCAAAGUCCAUAGUUUACCUUAGGGUUCACUGUUGGUGUUGUACAUUCUAUGGGUUUGGACAAAAGUAUAACAACAUAUAUCCAUCAUUAUAAUACCUGUAAAAAACAAAAUUCAACCAAGUAAAUUUAAAGAUCUAAUUGGCUCUGUUUUAACUUACUGUUUAACUUACUGUGAGUAUUUAACUUACUGUGAGUAUUUUCACUGCCCUAAAGUCCUCCAUGCUCUGCCUAUUCAUCUCCCCCCAGCCCCUGCAACCAUGGAUCAUUUUGUUGUUUCCAUAGCUUUGCCUUUUUCAGAAUAUCAUAUAGUUGGAAUCAUAUGGUAUGUAGCCUUUUCAGAUUGGCUUCUUUCACUUAGUAGUAUGCACUAUGGUUCUUCCAUGGCUUUCCAUGGCUUGAUAGCUCGUUUCAUUUUAGCACUGAGUAAUAUUCCAUUGUCUAGAUGUACCACAGUUUAUCAGUUUACCUACUGGAAGACAUAUUGGUUGCCUCCAAGUUUUGGCAGUUAUGGUUAAAGCUGCUACGAACAUCAUGUGCAAGUUUUUGUGUGCACAGAAACUUUCAUCUCCUUUGAGUAAAUACCAAGGGGCGUAAUUGCUGGAUCUUAUGGUAAGAGUAUGUCUAGUUUGGUAAGAAAUUGCUGAACUGUCUUCCAAAGAGGCUGUACCAUUUUGCAUUCCUGUUAGCAAUGUAUGAGAAUUCCUGUUGCUGCACAUCCUUGCCAGCAUUUGGUGUUGUCAGUGUUCUGGAUUUUGGCCAUUCUAAUAGGUGUGUAAUUGUACUGCAUUGUUGUAUUAAUUUGCAUUUCCCUGAUGACAUAUAAUGUGGUGCAUCUUUUCACAUGCUUCUUUGCCAUCUGUAUAUCUUCUUUGGUGAGGUGUUUGUUAAGCUUUUUGGGCUGCUUUUUAUUUUUAUUUUAUUUUAUUUUUGCGGUACACGGGCCUCUCACUGUUGUGGCCUCUCCCGUUGCGGAGUACAGGCUCGGGACGCGCAGGCUCAGCGGCCAUGGCUUACGGGCCUAGCCGCUCUGCGGCAUGUGGGAUCUUCCCGGACUGGGGCAUGAACCCGUGUCCCCUGCAUCGGCAGGCGGACUCUCAACCACUGCGCCACCAGGGAAGCCCUCUUCUGCCCAUUUUAAAAUCAGGUUGUUUGUUUUUUGAUGUUGAGUUGUAUGAGCUGUUUACAUAUGUUGAAUAUUAGCCCCUUAUUGGUCAUAUAAUUUGCAAAUAUUUUCUCCCAUUCAGUAUGUUGUCAUUUUGUUUUGUUGACGAUUUCCUUUGCUGUGCAAAAGUUUUUAAGUUUAAUUAGGUCCUAUUUGCUUAUUUUUGGUUUUAUUUCCUUAUUGCUCCUUAUUGCUUUAGGAGACAGAUCCAAAAGGAUAUUGCUACGAUUUAUGUCAAAGAGUGUUCUGCCUGUGUUUUCCUCUAGGAGGUUUGUGGUUUUCAGUUUUAAUUUAGGUAUUUAAUCCAUUUUGAGUUUAUUUUUGUAUAUGGUCUUAGAGAAUGCUCUAAUUUCAUUCCUUUACAGGUAUCUGUACUGUUUUCCAGAGCACCAUUUAUUAAAGAGACUGUCUUUUCUCCAUUGCAUAUUCUUGUCUCCUUUGUUGUAGAAUAAUUGACCAUGAGUGCAUGGGUUUAUUUCUGGGCUCUCUAUUCUGUUCCAUUGAUCUAUGUAUCUGUUUUUGUGCCAGUACCAUACUGUUUUGAUUACUGUAGCUUUGAAGCAUAGUCAAGUCAGGGAGCAUAAUUCCUUCAGCUCUGUUCUUCUCUCUCAAGGUUGUUUUGGCUAUUCGGGAUCUGUAUGAUAUCACUUAUAUGUGGAAUCUAAAAAAUACAAUAAACUAGUGAAUAUAACAAAAAAGAAACAGACUCACAGAUAUGGAGAACAAACUGGUGGUUACCAGUGGGGAGAGGGAAGGGGGGAGGGGCAAUAUAGGGAUAGGGGAUUAAGAGGUAUAAAUUAUUAUGUAUAAAAUAAUCUACAAGUAUAUAUUGUACAAUAUGAGAAUAUAGCCAAUAUUUUAUAAUAACUAUAAAGUAUAAUCUUUAAAAAUUGUGAAUCACUAUAUUACACACCUGUAACUUACAUAAUAUUGUAUAUUAACUCUACUUCAAUUAAGAAGCUGUACUGUUUCUGAUGAAAACUUAUUAAAAUUGUAAGGUUGUACCCUAUUUAUUCCCCUAUUGAUAGGCAUUUAUGUUUUUUCCAUUACUUUGCUGUUAUAAAACUGUUAAAAUGAAUAGCCUUGAGCAUAUGCCAUUUCAUUUUUUUGCCAAUAUAUUUUUGUGACAGAUUCUUAGAAUGGGAUUCCUGAAUCAAGAGGUAAAUGCAUAUUGUUUUACUCUGUACUCAUUAAACAACAACUCCCCUCUUCUUUCCUGCAGCCCCUGGUAACCACAGGGAUAUAAAGUUUUUUCAAAAACCGCAAAACAGAAACCCAAAAUGGAUGGGUAUCUUUAUCCUUAUAUCUGUGUCUCUGAGUUUUCAGAAUAAUAUCAAGAUAAUUUUUCAAUAGACAAGCUUUCUUGAAUUACAGUUUAUUAAUCUGAUUUUGUUUUAAUUUUAAUUUUUUUCUCUGAAUCACAAGAGUUUAGGUUCUCAUAGAAAUUUGGAAAAUAAAGAUACAAAGAUAAAAAUAAGAAUCGUGCAAUUGCACCAACAGAAGAUAACCAGUAACCAUUUCGAUAUGCUUCAUUCAUUUUCCAGAUUUUUCUUCUUCACUCUUCUGCUUGUUCCAGAGACAGCCCCAUAAGAGGAUCUCAGGCACAAAGCCUUGCAGAGGUGAGACAGACACAGCAGCAUCUUCACAUUUGAAGGAGGGCAGUGCGAGGUAUGGACUCUUCAUCAACCGGAUUAAUACAUUUUUAAAAAAUUUAUUUAUUUUUGGCUGUUUUGGGUCUUCGUUGCUGCGCACGGGCUUUCUCUAGUUGUGGCAAGUGGGGUCUACUCUUCGUUGUGGUAUGUGGGUUUCUCAUUGCGGUGGCUUCUCUUGUUGCGGAGCACGGGCUCUAGGCGUGCAGGCUUCAGUAGUUGUGGCAUGCAGGCUCAGUAGUUGUGGCUCGUGGGCUCUAGAGCACAGGCUUAGUAGUUGUGACGCACGGGCUUAGUUGCUCCGCGGCAUGUGGGAUCUUCCCGGACCAGGGAUCGAACCCAUGUCUGCUGCAUUGGCAGGAGGAUUCUUAACCACUGUGCCACCAGGGAAGUCCCCAGAUUAAUACAUUAUUGACACUAAAUUGCUUUUCUGAUUCAUAAAAAAAAGUCUUUCUCCCUAGAUUUAUGUGGGAUAAUUUAUCCCUUGUUGCCCAUGGAGACCUUCAGAAGAAAGAAAAUGGUUUUUACCCCAUGUUUUGGAGAGUCUGAAACCCAUAAGCUGUUUGGACAAGCCUUAAUUGGAUACCUGUUUUGUGCCAGGCAAGCCAGUGCUGGGCGUUCAAGAGGAGAGACCUAGGUCUUGCCUUGAGGAGCUCACUCCCGUGAGGAGAGAGUAACCUCAGAGUGUGGCACAUGGAUGCCCUGAUGCCGCAGGCUUUCAUAGGAGGCAGACAGGAGUUUGGCACCAUGUAGAAAUGAAUUUGAGUCUGGCUUCCCCUGCUUCUUGGUUCUUAGCUUCUCUGAGCCUCAGUUUCUUCCUGUGAAGAUGGGGACACCAGGGGUCUGAGGUUGUGAUAAGAUCAUGCACUGGAUGCCCUUAGCACACUGUAGCAGGUGAGAUGUGACGUCACCUUAGGUGCCAGUAUCUUUAGGAGGGCUUGGCAGUGGGGAUGGGGAGGGGUCCAGGGUUCCACUCUCAGAAGUAGUUAUGACUAAUUGGGUAGGGCUAGCACCAGGGACAAAGGGGGACAGAUGUGUGCCACAACUGUCAUCUCUUUUUGAUACUGAGCACCUACUGUGUACCUCUUCCCGGCCUCACAAGGGCCCUCAGAGGCCUUGUUGCCCUCGACCAGAUGAAGAGCCUGAGAAGGAGAGGGAGGGAGUGGAGUGGGGGGCUUGCUCAGACACAGCUGCAGCUUCACUCCCCUUUCCCACCACUGGUGCUCUGUCUUUUACCAGAACUCACUCUGUGACGUUGAGCCUGUCUUUGCCCCCCUCGGGAGAGCUGGUUUCAGGGGAAUCAGGGACGCCAGGCUUCCCACAUUUAAAGUUUUAAAGAGCGUUCCAGUCCCUUCCCCUCCCCCAAGUCUCCUCUCGUCGGACGCCCAGGUGAGCGCUGGGAGCUGCCCGCAGGUGAUGAUAAUACCAACAGAGUACCUCGCAUUUGCUCCGCGACCCGACCUGUGCUAAACUCCUUUCCUCCGUAAUUCUCCGCAAUGCCCAAUCCGAGACAUCCCGGGGCCGAAUUCGCCCCGCGGGCCCGGCCCCCUUUCGUGAUCAAGAUGCAGAGGCCCCGACGGCCUCCCAGCACCGCCCCACGUGCCGCCCCUGGCGGCUCCGCCCGGGCCCGCGCGCGAGAGAGACCGGGGGCGGGGCCUCGGGGAGGGGGUUCGGCCGGGCUCGGUGACUACACUGGCCCAACAGACCGCCCCACUCCUGCCACCCUCCGAUGGGUCCACUGUCUUUGUGCCCGCCAGUAGGGCUGUCGCUGCUGCUGCUACUGGGACCCGGACUCGGGCUCAGCUCAGGUGAGUGAGGGAUGGGCCCCCUCCAAGGACCCAGGAGUUCCUGGGGCUCCCCCAGUCCUCCCCAGGGUGCCAGGAGCCCUGCCUCCCCAGCCCUCCCAGGGGAUCCAGGAGCCCUACAGCCCCCAGCCCUACUUUCUGUGGUCCACCCACACGUUGCUUCCCAGCUUCGUGGGAGCCCUGUCCCCCCGCACUGUCACCCCUGUCCUCCCCUAGAGCCCCUCAUUCACAGCUUCCAGGGACCCAGAACUAGCCCAGUCCUCCCCCAGGGCCUCAGUGUCCUCCCCCAAAACCCUUUCCACUCACUGGCACCCUCUCCAGUGACCAGACCUCCCCAUCCACCUGGCCUGGUGCCCCGUGAACUGAGCCUUCACUCCACCUGUCCCUGGGGUCUGCAGUAGGACCACCAGGGGGACACGAGAGGCUGAAAGGAGCAGGGGAAGAAGGGGCCCAGCCCUACCUGGGGUCGGGGAAGAACGCAAUGUCCCCUUCUCAACCACCCCAGACGUCACCCUCGGAUAGGUCCCCUUGGCAUAUUACCCACAGGGACAUGUGCAGACGCCACAAGCACAGAGACACACAGGCACAGGACACCCCCAGCCUCAUCUGGGCACUCAGGUGCUGGGCUCAUGGACAGGCUCACACACAGACACAGGCAAAGACACCGCAAGGGAAACGCACACACCCACACACCCACACUCAGGGAUACCGAGACAGCCCCAUAUGGACACACAUACAGAGAGAAGCACACACACACAAACACACACACACCCUCAGACCCACAGGAAGCCUGGACAGCCUUGGCAUUCCCAGCAGAGGCUGUUGUGGGCAGACACAGCAAACAGCCCCCAGAAUGACCUGCCCCACCUAAGCUGGCAUGGAGGGAGUGUUUGCCUUGGUUACAAAUCCAGUGCUGGGUGUCCACCCAUGCCUGGGUUCUCCCUAGGGCUGAGUCCAGGACCCUGAGAUGCCAGAGGGUGGGUCAGGUCAGGGUGGGGAGACCUCUGGGGACAGCUUUAGGGUGUGGGUUUGGAACUGGGGUCCUGUCAGAUGUGCUUAUUUCUUUUUCAAGUUUUUAUUUCAUUUUAUUUAUUUUUGGCUGCACCACGUGGCACGCAGGAUCUUAGUUCCCCGACCAGGGAUGGAACCCACGCCCCUGCAGUGGCAGCACAGAGUCUUAACCACUGGACCGCCAGGGAAGUCCCCAGAUGUGCUUAGACUGGGAGCGUUCCAUGGGGCUUGGUGGAUCCAGGGGUCAAGGAAGCUUUUCUGAAAGCCCACUGCAUGCCAGGGGAUCCGGAGCUGCCCGCAGCAGAGAUCUGUCCAGGCUGAAGGGUCAUGCCCAUGAGCAGACAGUGGCACAGCGUGACAAGGGCCCCUGUGGUCACAUGGGGGUGAAGCAGAUUCUAGAAGGAGGUGAUGGGUGAGCUGGGUGAGGAUGGGGUGAGGGCACUUGCAGCAUGGGGUGUAUGUGACAGGCAGUUUAACUGGAGGAACAGGACAUGAUGAGUGGGGUCCAUGUGGGGCACGUUGAGAGAGGGUGCUGGAGCGGGGGGAGGGUCAGCUCCUGCAGGGCCUCUGAUCAGUGAGGACCCUGAGCUUUACCUGGAGGGGGACGGGAGCCUGGGGAGGUUUCAAGCAGAAGUGUGGGCAACUGGGGGCAGCACUCAGGAAGUCCUGUGAGAGGAGGACGGGUCAUCCAGAGAGGAAGGCAAAGCUUUUAACUCUAAACUCGUUUUUACAUUUUGUUUCUAUUUAACUUAUCUCCAGUCCCCUAUACGAAUAUGCUGCUUUUCCCACUGAGAAAAAAACAAAAUUGAGGGAAUUCUCUGGUGGUCCAGUGGUUAGGACACCGAGUUUCCAUCGCUGGGGACACCACUGUUAUCCCCAAUCGGGGAACUAAGAUCCCGCAAGCCACGCGGCACAGCCAAAAAAAAAAAAAAAAAAAAAAAUUGAAUUGAAUUUUGGUUUGGACUCUUCAAAAAAGUCAGCAUGAUAAAUUCUUGUUCCAGAUAAAAAGACUUGAAACAGACAUGAUGAUUAAAGGCAAUGCAAAAAUCUCCUCUGGAUCCUCAGUCCUGGAGCAGUGGGCAGAGAGCGGGUUCCCAGGAAUCAGGCCAACCUGGGCACGAGUUUCUGCUCACCAGCUCACCAGCUCUGAGACCUGGGAUGGGUCCUUUUGCUUCUCGUAGCCUCAGUCUCUCCAUCUGUAAGUGGGAGAAUAGCCACCCGUGAGACAAGGAAGUUGACAACAGAUGUCGCCUAUAAAUUGGGGAGCACAGUGCCCGGUGCAGGGCGAGGUCCCAGUGAUAGCAUCUCCUUACUGUGGCUGAUUGUGUAUUUUGACUAAGCGCCAGAGUGGACUCAUGGCCCUCACCAGAAGAAGCAGUGGCUCUGGGAUUCUCUGAUGCCCAGCUCACAGCAGGUUUGGAGGCCCCUUACCCCGAGCAGUGGACCCCUUGAUGCCCCUAAGCUCUGUCACCCUGGCAGGGCUCCCUUCCUCCUUGGGCAAGGAGGAAGGAGCACUGGAUUGGGAGUCAGAAACCCCCAGUCAGGUCAGGUUCUUGUGGGCUGUGUGACUUUAGGGUUGUCCUUCCCACCUGGGCCUCCUCUUUCUUCCAUGUGAGAUGCAGGGGUUCCAGUCGCACCAACUAUGUACUGCUAUGUGUCACAGCCACAUGGGGGAUCCAGAAAAAUGGCUGGGAUGUGGCCGCAGGGCCUCCCCGUGUGGGAGGAAGCUGUGCCGGGCAGUGAAAAUAAGAGAUGCAAAGGGCCCUGAGCCAGAGUCUGGAGGGCAGUGGUGGGGGCAGUGGAGACCCAGGGAGAGGGAAGCCCCCGCAAAGGAGCCUGCCUUGAUGGCAGGGACUCUGUUCAGCUCACUUCUGAUGUCCAGUGCCCAGCACGGGCAACUGGACAGACGUUUGAUGUGCGACUUGCAAUCUGACUCUGUCUGGAGUUGAUAAGGGCAAAGGAUUGGGGAUCAGGGCAUUCCAGGAAGAGGGAACAGCCUGUGCAAAGGCCCAGAGGUGUGAGUUGUUUCAGAUGCUGUGGCUCUGUGACCUGUUUUCUCCUUCAUGGCUGCCUUGAAGGUAUUGAUAACAAUAGUUAGAGCUCAUUGUGUGCCGGGUGCUUUACAUGCAUGAUCUCAUUCCAUUCCAGGGAGUGAGAUCCCCUUAUUCCCCUG